AUUGCAGCGGCAUCCUUUUUUUGGCGGUUGGGCCGGCAAAAAAAGAUAUAGCGGAAAG
rnacentral:sRNA from 1 species